GACGAACCAUGCAAACGUUAUUCGGAUUCACUGGGCUUAAAGCGUGCGUAGGCGGUCUUGUUAGUCAGGUGUGAAAGCCCUCAGCCUAACUGAGGAAUUGCGCUUGAUACUGCAUGACUAGAGAAUGAUAGAGGUGGGUGGAACUGAUGGUGGAGCGGUGAAAUGCGUUGAUAUCAUCAGGAACACCAGUGGCGAAGGCGACCCACUGGGUCAUUUCUGACGCUGAGGUACGAAAGUUAGGGUAGCGAACGGG
rnacentral:rRNA from 1 species